rnacentral:rRNA from 1 species
UGCCAGCAGCCGCGGUAAUACAUAGGUCACAAGCGUUAUCCGGAAUUAUUGGGCGUAAAGAGUUUGUAGGCGGUUUAUCAAGUCUAGAGUUAAAGCCUGAGGCUCAACCUCAGUCCGCUCUGGAUACUGGUUAACUAGAGUUAUAUAGAGGUAAACGGAAUUCUUAGUGAAGCGGUGGAAUGCGUAGAUAUUAGGAAGAACACCAACGGCGAAGGCAGUUUACUGGAUAUACACUGACGCUCAAGAACGAAAGCGUGGGGAGCAAACAGGAUUAGAUA